rnacentral:rRNA from 1 species
CCCUUAGAUGUUCUGGGCCGCACGCGUGCUACACUGAGUGGAUCAGCGGGUCAGGUUGCGCGAAAGUGUUUCCUAAUCUUGAAAUCCGCUCGUGAUGGGGAUUGACGGUUGCAAUUUUCCGUCAUGAACGAGGAAUACCUUGUAAGCGCGGGUCAUCAUCCCGCGCUGAAUACGUCCCUGCCCUUUGAACACACCGCCCGUCGCUCCUACCGAUUGAGUGGUCCGGUGAGGCUUUGGGAUCUGAGCGGAAAGAGCGUUUCGCUGUUUCUGCUCGGAAAACUCAGUCGAACCUUAUCAUUUAGAGGAAGGAGAAGUCGUAACA